AUUAAAUUUUAUAAUGAUUUAUUAAUUAAUUAUAUUUUUGUAUUAAUAUAAUAAAAUUUUAUAUUAAAAAUUUUAUUUAAUUUAAUAAUUAGAUUUAAAAAAUUAAUGAAAGUUAAAUUUAGAAAAAAAAAUUAAUAGAGAUAAAUAAUGGUGCCAGCAAUAGCGGUUACACCAGUUUUAUAAGUUAAUUAUUUAAAUUAGUAUUAAUAUAAUAUUUAUUAAAAUUUAAUUAAAUUUAAAUAUUUUAGGUGAAAUUUGAUUUUUAAAUAAAUUAAAUUUUAUAUAUAUAAAUAUAAUAAGAUAAAGUAAUAAACUAGGAUUAGAUACCCUAUUAUAUAAAAUAAUAAUUUAAGAUUUAUAAAUAAAUGUUGAAUCAUUAAAAUUAAAUUAUAUGGCGGCUUUUCAUUCUUAUUAGAGAAAUUUGUAGUUUAAUUUGAUGAUCCACGAUAAGAUUUACUUGAAUAAUAAAUUUAUGUAUUGUUGUAUAUUUUUAUAUAAAAUUAUUUAUUAUAAAUAUUUAAUAAAAUUGGAAUUCAAAUCAAAAUGUAGUAUAUUUAAGAAUUUAUGAAUUAUAAUAAAUUUUAUUUAUGGAUAAUUAAAUUUUAAUAUUAAUUAGAAAGAGGAUUUAAAAGUAAAUUUAAUAAAUUAAUUAUUUUGAAAUUAGUUUUGAAGAGUGUACAAAUUGCCCGUCAAUUUCGUUUUAUGGAAUAAGUCGUAACAUAGUAAAAAUAUUGGAAAAUGUUUUUAGAUAAAA
rnacentral:ncRNA from 1 species